GUGCAGCCGCCGCGGUCAUACCGGCAGCCCAAGUGAUGGCCGAUCUUAUUGGGCCUAAAGCGUCCGUAGCUGGCUACGCAAGUCCGUCGGGAAAUCCACUCGCCCAACGCGUGGGCGUCCGACGGAAACUGCAUAGCUUGGGACCGGAAGGCUCGAAGGGUACGUGCGGGGUAGGAGUGAAAUCCCAUAAUCCCGCACGGACCACCGAUGGCGAAAGCACUUCGAGAAAACGGAUCCGACAGUGAGGGACGAAAGCCAGGGUCUCCAACCGGAUUAGAAACCCGAGUAGUCC
rnacentral:rRNA from 1 species